CUCCGGGAGCUCCCGGGGCUGGCGGAGCCGCCGCGCCAUGGAACCGCCGGGUCCCGCCGGGGCGCCGGGCCGGCCCUGGGAUGAAGCCAAGGCUUUCUACGAUAACCUCGCCCCCAAGAAGAAGCCCAAAUCGCCCAAGCCCGAGAACGCCAUCACCAUCGCCGUGUCCUCGCGGGCGCUGUUCCGCAUGGAGGAGGAGCAGAGGAUCUACACGGAGCAGGGCGUGGAAGCCUACGUGAGAUAUCAGCUGGACCACGAGAACGAGCCCUUCCUCCCCGGGGCCGCCUUCCCCUUCGUCAAGGCUCUGGAGGCAGUGAAUGCUCAGCUCCGGGAGCUCUAUCCCGACAGCGAGGAGCUCUUCGACAUCGUCCUGAUGACCAACAACCACGCCCAGGUCGGGGUUCGCCUGAUCAACAGCAUCAACCACUACGAUCUGUUCAUCGAGAGGUUCUGCAUGACGGGAGGGAACAGCCCCAUCGGGUACCUCAAGGCUUAUCACACCAACCUCUACCUCUCCUCCGACGCAGAGAAAGUGAGUGGGGCCAUUGAAGAGGGGAUUGCUGCAGCCACCAUCUUCAGCCCCAGCAGGGACCUGGAGGUGUCGGAGAAGCAGCUGCGGGUGGCGUUCGACGGGGACGCCGUGCUCUUCUCGGACGAGUCGGAGCAGAUCGUGAAAGCUCACGGCCUGGACAUGUUCUUUGAGCACGAGAAAGCUCACGAGAACAAGCCCCUGGCACAGGGCCCCCUGAAAGGCUUCCUGGAGGCGCUGGGCAAGCUGCAGAAGAAGUUCUACUGCAAGGGGCUGCGGCUGGAGUGCCCCAUCCGCACCUACCUGGUGACGGCGCGGAGCGCGGCCAGCUCGGGGGCGCGCGCCCUCAAGACCCUGCGCAGCUGGGGGCUGGAGACAGACGAGGCUCUGUUCCUGGCAGGGGCUCCCAAGGGGCCCCUGCUCAGGAAAAUCCGGCCCCACAUCUUCUUCGACGACCAGAUGUUCCACGUGGAGGGGGCGCAGCAGCUGGGCACCGUGGCCGCCCACGUGCCCUACGGGGUGGCCCAGAAACACAAACGGCCCGAGCAGGGGGAGCAGCAGAGCCCCAGCAGCAAGUAGGGGAUGGGGGGACCCCAGCGCCCUGAUCCUACAAGGAGUGCUUGUUCUGGGAUGUGGGAUCCCCCAGUUCCUCCUGGUCCUACAGGGAAUCCUUGUUCUGGAAGUGGGGGAUUUCCUCAGCACCCUGAUCCUAUAGGGAAUGCUUGAUCUGGGAAUGGGGGAUUCCCUUAUCCCCCUGAUCCUACAAGGAAGGCUUGUUCUGGGGAUGGGGGGGAUCCCCCAGCUCCUCCUGGUCCUAUAGGGAAUCCUUGUUCUGGGAGUGGGGGAUUCCCUUAUCCCCCUGAUCAUAUAGGGAAUGCAUGUUCUGGGAAUGGGGGAUUCCCCCAGCAUCCUGAUCCUAUAAGGAAUCCUUGUUCUGGGGAUGGGGGGAUCCCCCAGCUCCUCCUGAUCCUACAAGGAAUGCUUGUUCUGGGAAUGGGGGAUUUCCUCAGCACCCUGAUCCUACAAGGAAUCCUUGUUCUGGGAAAGGGAGCUCAGGGGCAGGGAGAGAGCAGAAGAAGCAAAUAUGGGGAUGGGGGAUCCCCAGUCCUCUGAUCCUACAGGGAAUCCUUGUUCUGGGAGUGGGGGAUUCCCUCAUCCCCCUGUUCCUACAGGGAAUCCUUCUUCUGGGAAUGGGCUGCACUCAGGGCAGGGAGGGAGCAGGAAAUCUUCCUUUGUGCCUCUGCUCAUGGGCUGCUGUGCUGUUGUCCCUGCUCCUCCUGGGGCUGGAGAUGUUUUCCCAGUUCCUCCCUGCACUCUGCACUCACUCCAGGCAAAACCCCUCCAGGAUGGGUCUGCCCUGUGUGGAAUCUUUGUGCCAGGCAGGUUUAACUUAUUUAUUUAAAACCCCAAGCAAAUGUUGAGGCUGAAGUGUUGGGCUGGAAAGUUGGGAGCACCCAAAAAACCUUCCAAGCAGCUUUGAAACAAAUUUUUUCCCUUUUAACUUGAAUUAAACUGUGAAUUUUUUCCUUCACUGCCUCAGCUGCUGCUCCCCAACCAGGAAAUACUGUCUGUCCUCUCACCUAGAUUUUGCCAGCUUCAAUGUGGAAAAACAGAAACAAAUAUUUAACAUAUUUAAAAAGAAAAAAAAAAAAUCCUGUUUCCUGCUUGGAGCUUUGAGCUGCUGUAUUGUUGGCCCAGGUUUUUAUAUUUGGGUAUGACACUUGCAUGAUUUAGCACUUAAAAUUAAUAAUCUCAGUGAGCAUCCCAAGCCCAGCUUGUCCAAGGGCUGCAGGGCUUGAAUUAAGUUAAAAGCAGGCCCUGAUAUAUUAGGGACAUCAUUUGAAGUCCAUUUAGGUAAAUCUGCAGAGCAUUUCAGCCUGGGGAUUUCAAUUAAAGGAUUUUUUUUUUCUCCCUUUCUAGGCUGAGUUGAUAAUCUUUUUCUCCUCAGCUUUUUAAAACCUCUGGUGUUUCCUAAAAUAGCCACCUCUGUCAGCGAUGCUGUGAGAGAACCAAAUCUCUGAUUAAAAAACAGGAUGGGAAAUCAAUGGGGAGAAACUGGUGUGAAAAUCACACUGACAUUUCUGCUCAAAGCCCUGUCCCAAAGGAGACACUGGGGAGGAAAAUUUAAAGAUUAUUUCUUCCUUGUGGGUUUUUCUUUUCCUCUAUUUCCAUGAAAUCUCACGGCUGAGCAGGAAGGAUGCUCAAUAUUGUCAGACACUUUUUUACAAAUUCCACGGGUUUAAAUUUCCCAGUUUGUGUGUCUGGCUCUUUCCAGGGAAGUCUCAGCUCAAACAGUGAGGCUGGAGCUGGAAUUAUCACCCUGUUGAGGAAUAUGUAAAUAACCAAGCUGGGGAUGCCUUCAGUGGCUUUCUCAUUUUCUCAUUGCACUAAAUCCUGCUCUAGCAGUGAAAAGCAAAUUGCACUUUUCCCCCCUUCCCCCAAAAAAAAAUUCCUGGCAGACUGUUAAGUGUCACAUCUGGGUGACAAACACCUCGGAGGAAGAUGUAAAAUCCAAACAAACAAAGGAAAAAUCUUGGGAGAAACGAGUUUGUGAGAGUCACAUCCACCAGCACUCGGGUUUCUAGAAAAAUCUUGUCUUUUUUUAAUGUGAGCCCAAGAUUUUGGGAUCUGAACUGGAUCCUGGAGACCUUUUCAGGCAGUAAACAUUUCCAAGGUGUUUCCUGAGGAUGGUGCAAGCCCAGCCAAGGGGAGAGGAUGUUGCAGGAGGAAUUAAUUGUCAGGGUGCCAGUGGGGCUGGGGACAGGGGACGUGUCCCUGGGUGAUCCAGGGCUGCUGCUGCUGUUGGCAGGAGGAGGUGGAAGCCCAGGGAAGCAGUGGGGUGCGAUUUUGGGGCAGAACCUCGGGUUUUGCAGAUUCCAGGCUCUGAGGUGCACAGGGAGCUGGGGACAGGGUUUGGUGACCCUGCUUUGGGUCCUCCUGCUGCCAGAGCAGCUUAGGGGGGAUUUGGGCUCAGGAAAUGGGUCCCAGGUGAGCCAGACCUCCCCAAACCGGGAGGAUUUUCCAUUCCCACCAUGGCUGCCCCUUUUGCUUUUAUCCACCUGGCUCCCUCUGGUUUUGUUGGGGUUUUUUUUUUUGUUUGGUUUAUUUUUUUUUCUCCUCCAUCACUGCAACUGGAAGACAAGGACUUGCUGCUCGUGUCCUUCCCUCCCUGGUGUCCCCUGGGGAGUGUCCCUGGGGUCACUCUUGGGAUGGGCACUUCUCCUGCAGGGUUGUUGUGCUCUCCUGGCUGACAACUGGACUUUUCCUGCUGUGUGUUGUUGCUGUGGAUUUCACUUCAUUGUCCUCCGGUGGUUUUUUUUGUUUUGUUUUUUUUGCCAUGUUAAUGGGAUCCCUCGGGGUGUUUUUUUCCCAUAAUAAACAGAGUUGGUCCCAGCCCAGCUCCCUCUGUUCUCACAAUGAGUAUUUGGUGCAGGGUCUGAGCUCCCUGCUUGGGACCUCCCAGUUUGAUGGUGAUGGGGUGGGGGUGACAAGAAGGAAAAAGAGGGUUUAAGGGAAUUUAGGAAAUGUGAUGAAAGCACCAACUUUGGGACUGGAGGCCCGUGGGAGGGGUGGGAUGUGACACAACCACCUCCCUCUGCUUCGUGAGAGGCUUUUGUGGGGCACCUGGGCUCGUGCUGGAGCCCGGGAUAAAAAUACAGCUUUGGCAGGAGCCUUUUGUCAACUUGAUCUUCUCCCAGCCAACAGGUGGGAGGCAGCAGAAGCUCAGCAGAGGAGAUUUAUGGUGCUGAAGCAGCGAGCAGCGCCACUGCAGCUCCUCCCUGCCAAUGAGGGGAGCAGAUGGGCUGAGGGGAAGCAGCAAAUGCUCCAUCCAUCACCAAAUAUAGCCAAGGAAUGUCCGUAGGCCCCCGGGCAGCAUCCCUGCUCUGGGUGCUCAUUUCAGGGAUGAAAUGAGCAGAGCUUUCCUGAUUUGCUGGAAUGCCUUCCCCCAGCCCAUCCCCACUCCUGGUGUGUUCUUCCACCAGAUGUCUGGAGGGAAAAAAAUUUAAAAAAAAAAAUUAAAAAAAUUAAAUUCCAGCACACAUUCCAGCCUGUGAUGCACCAGGGAAAGUCCAGGUGUGUCCUGGGGGUGGGGAUGUCCAGGGCAAAGCCAAAAGCUGCAAAUAACCAACCCCAAGCCCUGGACAGAGAUCAGGGAGGGACAGGGGAGGUUUGUGCAGGUGGGUUUGGGAUGGUUGGCUUGACUUUGCUGCAAGGCUGAGGUUUUGAUUCUGCUGCCUGUUUUCCAGCUUUUCCCUUCAUCAGGCACGGCAGGGCUUUGCAGGGAGCGUGCUUUGAAAUGGAGCCCGGGGAGGAGGAGGAGGAGGAGGAGGAGGAGGCAGAGCUGCUGGGAAUUUUGCUGCCACUCAGCAAUUGUCAGCACAGAUGUUCCCGAGGUAAUCACAGCCCUGAAUAGCAGGAGCUGCUUUUCGUGAUGAAUCCAGGAUUUAACCCCAGGAACCUGUGGGGUGUCUUGAGGGAGGGGGGCACCCCUGGUGAGAUGGACUGUGCUCUGUGUUCACCAGAAGCUGUGACAUCCCCUGCCUCAGUUUCCCCAUCACCAGGACAGAAUCCUGGAAUCUGGUUUGGGUUGGAAAGGAGCUUAAAGCUCAUCCAGUGCCUCCCGUGCCAUGGCAGGGACACCUCCCGCUGUCCCAGCCUCUCCAAACCGGCCUUGGACACUGCCAGGGUGGUGAAUCCAAAACUGAUGAAUGGUGCAGAGGGAAUGGAGGAUGAUUGCAGCUCCUUGGGGAGGGAAAGCAGAAAUCGGGCUGUGCUCUGAAGAGCAGUGGAACCCCUGCAGAUCCUGAUGCGUGGGUGCCACACAAACCCGGGUGGGACCUGCUCUGCAGCACGCUGAGUUUUACACCCUC